UUCCGGUUGAUCCUGCCGGAGGUCACUGCUAUUGGGAUUCGACUAAGCCAUGCGAGUCGAGAGGGUUCGGCCCUCGGCAUACGGCUCAGUAACACGUGGAUAAUCUGCCCUUAGGUGGAGGAUAAUCUCGGGAAACUGAGAAUAAUACUCCAUAGAUUUAAGAUGCUGGAAUGCACUUAAAUUAAAAGUUCCGGCGCCUAAGGAUGAGUCUACGGACUAUCAGGUAGUAGUUAGGGUAAAGACCUGACUAGCCUAUGACGGAUACGGGUUGUGAGAGCAAUAACCCGGAGACGAUAUCUGAGACACGAUAUCGGGCCCUACGGGGCGCAGCAGGCGCGAAAACUUCACACUGUGCGAAAGCGCGAUGAGGGAAUCCCAAGUGCUUGCUUGUAAAAGUAAGCUGUUUUUAUGUUUAAAAAGCAUGAAGAGUAAGGGCUGGGUAAGACGGGUGCCAGCCGCCGCGGUAAUACCUGCAGCUCAAGUAGUGAUCGCUAUUAUUGGGCCUAAAACGUUCGUAGCCGGUUUGGUAAAUGCCUGGGUAAAUCGUGUAGCUUAACUAUACGAAUUCCGGGUAGACUGCCAAACUAGAGACCGGGAGAGGCUAGAGGUACUCCUAGGGUAGAGGUGAAAUUCUGUAAUCCUGGGGGGACCACCAGUGGCGAAGGCGUCUAGCUAGAACGGGUCUGACGGUGAGGAACGAAGCCCUGGGGCGCGAACCGGAUUAGAUACCCGGGUAGUCCAGGGUGUAAACGCUGCUUGCUUGAUGUUAGUUGGGCUCCGAGCCCAAUUAGUGUCGGAGAGAAGUUGUUAAGCAAGCUGCCUGGGAAGUACGAUCGCAAGAUUGAAACUUAAAGGAAUUGGCGGGGGAGCACAGCAACGGGUGGAGCGUGCGGUUUAAUUGGAUUCAACGCCGGG
rnacentral:rRNA from 1 species